rnacentral:rRNA from 1 species
UACGAAGGGGGCUAGCGUUGUUCGGAAUUACUGGGCGUAAAGCGCGCGCAGGCGGCUAUCCAAGUCAGUGGUGAAAGCCCGGAGCUCAACUCCGGAACUGCCAUUGAAACUGUUUAGCUUGAGGACGAGAGAGGUGAGUGGAAUUCCCAGUGUAGUGGUGAAAUUCGUAGAUAUUGGGAAGAACACCGGUGGCGAAGGCGGCUCACUGGCUCGUAUCUGACGCUCAGGCGCGACAGCGUGGGGAUCAAACAGG